AUCUAGCUAACGAGUCCAAAAUAGGACGAAACGCGCGUCCUGGAU
rnacentral:hammerhead_ribozyme from 1 species